rnacentral:rRNA from 1 species
UACGUAGGGUGCGAGCGUUGUCCGGAAUUAUUGGGCGUAAAGAGCUUGUAGGCGGUCUGUCGCGACUGCUGUGAAAAUCCGGGGCUCAACCCCGGACUCGCAGUGGGUACGGGCAGACUAGAGUGUGGUAGGGGAGACUGGAAUUCCUGGUGUAGCGGUGAAAUGCGCAGAUAUCAGGAGGAACACCGAUGGCGAAGGCAGGUCUCUGGGCCACUACUGACGCUGAGAAGCGAAAGCAUGGGGAGCGAACAGG